rnacentral:rRNA from 1 species
ACGAUGAAGUUCCUUCGGGAAUGGAUUAGUGGCGAACGGGUGAGGAACACGUGAGAAACCUGCCUUUCAUUCUGGGAUAACACCGGGAAACCGGUGCUAAUACCGGAUACUCCAUCUUGGCGGCAUCGCCGAGCUGGGAAAAAAUUUUGAUGAAAGAUGGUCUCGCGGCCUAUCAGCUAGUUGGUGAGGUAAAGGCUCACCAAGGCGACGACGGGUAGCCGGCCUGAGAGGGCGACCGGCCACACUGGGACUGAGACACGGCCCAGACUCCUACGGGAGGCAGCAGUAGGGAAUAUUGGGCAAUGGGCGAAAGCCUGACCCAGCGACGCCGCGUGAGGGAUGAAGGUCUUCGGAUUGUAAACCUCUUUCAGUAGGGAAGAAGCGAAAGUGACGGUACCUAAAGAAGAAGCACCGGCUAACUAUGUGCCAGCAGCCGCGGUAAUACAUAGGGUGCAAGCGUUGUCCGGAAUUAUUGGGCGUAAAGAGCUCGUAGGUCGUUUGUCGCGUCGAUUGUGAAAAUCUGAGGCUCAACCUCAGACCUGCAGUCGAUACGGGCAAACUAGAGUGUGGUAGGGGAGACUGGAAUUCCUGGUGUAGCGGUGGAAUGCGCAGAUAUCAGGAGGAACACCAAUGGCGAAGGCAGGUCUCUGGGCCAUAACUGACACUGAGGAGCGAAAGUGCGGGGAGCGAACAGGAUUAGAUACCCUGGUAGUCCGCACCGUAAACGGUGGGCACUAGUUGUGGGAACCUUCCACGGUUUCCGCGACGCAGCAAACGCAUUAAGUGCCCCGCCUGGGGAGUACGAUCGCAAGAUUAAAACUC